AGGAGGAGGGAGAGAGAUGUGGGAUAAAUGCACAUAUGAAAGAGGAGGCGCCGGGCAUCAGUAGCAGCUCGCGGGAGCCCACACCACAUUUGCAAAAAUAGUAUGGAGAGAGGAAGAGACGCAGAUGAGUCGAGGGGGCGGCGCCCGGCGAACGGCAUCGAGUGAGAGAGUGUUGAAGACGAAGAGACGCAGAUCUAGCGGCGAUCUCCCCCCACCCAACCAACGGAAAAAUAAUGAGAUGGUCCCUUUGGAAAACGCUGCUGAUGCCGUUGACAAUGGACUUUCGUGGAGAAAAUUGGAUGGCAAAAAGAGAGAUAUAGAGGGAGAGGGUGAAGAACGGGAAAGUGAUGGGAUUGAGAUUGAUUGCGCGAAACUGAGAGAUGGGUCAUAGGUGAAAACGUGACAGGUGCCAAU
ensembl:ncRNA ZK617.18 ncRNA